UGACAGGUCCGCCAGCCGCUAGAUGGCUUGUUUCAGCCAUUCGGCCCGCCUCUUUGCCCAUUUUUGAUUGGCUUGGAGCUAGGCUGUGUCACGCACUGCCAUGAUGGCAACGGCCGGAGCGCUCGCCUUGAGCUUCAAAACCACUCUUUAGAAACCAACGGAACCACACACACCUGUAUAUACCUACCUGUUGGUAUUAAUAAACCAUUGAAGAGAGCAUCCCAGCAUCCCUUUGCCGAUGCACCACAGUGGUCACCUACCCCCUAACUAGCUACAGGUCAUGGCACAUUUGAUCUAUCUACCACUGCUGCUGAGUAUUUUGCGAACUGCCUUAUUAGAAUCCGUUAAGGGACAGUUCACCCAAAUAAAAAACAAAACAAAACAAUUUCUUCACCUGCAUCUAGUGGUAUCUAGCCAUGCAGAUAUAGUUAGGAUUUACUUAAUUGUGUUUCGAGAUAUCUGACAUUUCAAUCACCAUCCCAAUGAAACAGAAGUGAAUGGAAUUUAGUUUGUGGUGCUCACUGAAAAAUUACAUUUAAAAAAUGUGUUGUCUCAUCCACAGGUCUGUGGAUUAUCUGAAGUAACAGGAACACUGCAAUUUAGGUGGCAGGCACUUUAAUGGAGGGAUUUUUGUUAAUCUCUCAUUAAUCUCUCUUCCUUUAUGUUUAGUUACAUUUUUAUUACUCGGCUUUGUUGAAUACUCAAUUACGGCAUUCUAUGGUCUGUUAUUUAUGAAUAGCAGGCUGCUGCCAUGAAUAGCAGACCGUUGCUAAGGAUGCAAUUCUGUUCAUAGUCUCUGAAGGACCAUGUCAAAUCAUAUCAGAAAGAAGUCCAGUUAAAUUAACAACUACAGCUAAUUCGCAACACGUUGUGGUAGCAAAAAUGUUAGCGACAAUGUCUGUGACUGGGCACAGAUGUGACAGCAGCCCGAACAGCUACUGGGCUCCAACCAUUACAGAAAGAGAAAAGUUUAGCAAGAUCCUGUCCUCCAAUCCAGGCAACAGCAGCAGAUCUGGUGAGCGCCUCUCUUAGUUGCGUAUCACUACACACUGACUUAAGUGAUAAAAGGUAGUGAUAGGCUAAUAUUAAUAUUGUUACCAGUUGAAACAUUAGUAGCAAUUGUGUUUCCAGGUGUGUCAACUGCAAAGCCCUGCCAGGAAGGAAACAGAUGAGUGACAGAAACGUCAUGAUCUUAAGAAGGCUACAGAGCUUUCAUAGAUAUUUACGUUGCUAUGCACGCAGUUCCAACAGUAGAAUCUAACAGACAAUUUUUUAGCGGAAGCAAUAAAAUAAUUUUUAAAUCAAUAUUUUGUCAGAUUAUUGAUUUCUUUAGUAAAUAGCCCUGUUAUAAGCAGGACAAUAUACAGCAAGUGGGUCAUUAUUGCAAAAAGAACCCCAACAGAGUGAUGCAGGACCACAACGCGAAGUGGAGCGCUCGCUGUAGACAUUAUCCCUUACUUAUAUCACUGCAGAUUUUUUAUAAAAAGGUCAUAGGUGGCCCUGGUUCACUUAAUAUUGUAAUAAAUCUGAGUUCGAAUAGAGACCAGAAGUUAUGUAGGGUAAAUGUCAGAGACCUCAGAACAAACAAUACCUGACCACAAAGAAUAGCAGGCAAAGCAAUAAUCUUUAUUAAAUUAAGAUCAAUUAGAAAAGGGUCCCUGGAGUUUGACUAGAUGGGAGAGUUAUCAAACUUUAGGGGGGGGGGGUCAGGACUAGACACACUAUAAGAAAUAUACACACCACCAUCCAGGGAUGCAAAACACACAUCAGGGAUAAGACCACAUCACUACAGACUUGAGAACCCGCCACACUACACACAGUGGAGUUACACUUUUAAGUUAUAAGAAAGAGGGUGAGACCAAUACAAAGUCUCCCCACGCCCGGGACCUAACUCAACCCCACCCAGCUUGUGGCAACAUCCAACUCGGGGCACCACAGCUCCAUCGAAAAACAACAAAAACAACAAAAAAUACAAUAUAACCCAGAUUAUUGCUAUCAAAAGCAAUAAUGAUGCUAAUCCACCUCAUACAUACUUAAAUAUUGUUUAAAUGUAUUCCCAAAUGUGUGCAUUCCCAAAGUAUACUCCUUGUGUAAGAUCUAUAAAACACUCCUGGAUAUCAUGGUGAGUUGACUGGCAUUUGUAGAAAAGGACAGAGAAUGUGAGGAUGUGCAGUGUGUGUCUCUCUGUGUGUGUGUAAAUGUGUAUUCUGUAAAUAUAAACACCUUCCACAAAUACAAAAAAAGAUUUGUAAACUCACAAAAAUAUUUUGCAAAUAUAAAACGGAUGUGCAAAUACAAACUAAUUCCUCAAAUAAAAAAUAAUAUCUGUGAAUACAUUAAAUUAAUUUAAAAAUAAAUGAAAAGCAUUUGUGAAUAUCUUCCUAACAUUUACAACUUUCCAACAGGAAUCUUUAUUUGUGAAUCGACAAAACAUUUGUGGAUCUCAGUUCUACGCUUGUGGAUUUGCUUUUUACACACAUUUUACACGAGUAUUGAGACAAACAUUCCGUCGGUCCGAAUGAAAAUCCACUCGUAUCACUCCAUCAUUUUCGGAUAGCACGUGAUCACCUGCUGACGACGUCAUUUCCGCAUUUCCAAGUAAGAGCAUGCAGUCUUUCUAUGCUUUCUAUGAGCUGUUUUUUUUUUCGGCAAUAAGUAACGUGCAUUUAUUGUUUUAUGUUAAUGUCAUACAGUGAGUAUUAGUGUGUUUUUAUUUGUUUUAUGUAUAUUAUGUAGCUCACACUUUCGUAUACAUUCUGUUUGAGUAUGAAGGGCUCGAGGAUGCUUGUGGGCUCUCCAAAGCAGCUUGGUUGCUUCUUCAGUUAGCAGCUAGCAGCCACCUCAUCCUUUAUAUUUGUCAUUUAUUCUUUCAGGUGGGUAAAAGUCACAAAGCACUUCACAUCUUAUUAGUAGUCUACUCUAACUAAUGUAGUUCUAAUGUCUGUGCUGAACUGCACCGUGUUUAGUUAGAUAGGUGUUUUGUUUGUUUUAUUCUCUCCACAACCGUGCACCUGAUAGACUUGGAACUGUGCACACCGCUACUUCUUACUAGAUCAACAGCCAAUGGUUUCCAUGGCAAUUACAUGAAAACCUUUGUUUCCAAAGAGGUAAAUGAAUGAGAACAAAUAAAUGUUACAAAAUCCAUUUUAAAAAGUAAUCAAGUACAAAAGACACAUACACAGACAAAUGUGCACAGAAAGUAUGAAAGCUGAAAGAAAAUUAUCAUUCGUCCAUAUCAUAAACUUACAAUACACAGAAAAACUAAUCUGCCCAUGAUAGCGAUACAUUGACAAAACAGCUAUAAACAAAUCACAAUGUAAGCUCUCCUCUUUGUGGUCUUGAUUUGAUCUUUGUGAUCUUGUUUCCCUCGAAACUAAACAAAAAAAAAGAAAAGAAAAAAAUUAAAUAAUAAUAAUGAUAAUAACAAUAAUAAUGAUAAUAAUAAUAAUAAUACCAUAUAUGGUUUCACCUACAUUUAUGUUGAGAAGUCUACAAUUGUCUACAAUUCAGUAUGAAGUUUUUUAGGAAUCAACAGUCAGAUUUUUGUUUCAUGAAAGUAUUAUCAUAUCUUGUGAUACUUGCUGUUCAUUUUAAGGUUCAUUACAGUUUUUCCACUCCCAUGUGUUUAGUUGAGGAGAAACACCCUGCUUAGGGCAGAACUGAGUAGAGUUGAAUUUGAAAAAAUGCAGACGUCCACAGGUGUUGUCAACCUGCUUAUUGAGACCGCAACUUAUAAAUUUCAUGCAGUUGAAAGACUAAACAAAAUCUGGCCUAGCAUUGUUGUGUGACAUGGUGAGUGCAUAGCAUGUCUUACAAACAUGAGGGUGCAGGUCCAAUUCCACCCAUUGCUGAUUUUAAUCUUAAUCUAGAUUUUUCAAUAGCGUUCAGCUUCCAGUAAUGCAAAAAUAAAUCAGCUUUCAGCAAUCACACGCAAUUUCUUCAGAAAUUGCAUUUUCCAGUUAUCAAAUCAGAUUCCUCCACGAUCCCUAAACACCAAUUGCGACUCAGCUGUCAAACUUUAAAAUCUGUUUCCCUCUCUGUCACUGUCAGCUGUCAUUCCAGAGCAAUCAUCGAGACUCAGUGGGUCAUGCUGCUGCAUGCGUGCAUCUGUCGUCAUGCAAGUCGUUGUAUCAGUACGCCACAAGCUAUGAUCUGAAUACGGCCUACUCAUAUCAAGGUUGCUCCUCUGCCUCUUAUCUCAUUUCCCUGCUUUUUGGCUAUCCUUUGCAUCGUCAUUGGCCUUUUCCCAUCAUAGGGGACGUUGGCUCUUCUCCCUGCUUCAUGUAAUAUCCUUUUCAUUCUUCUCACACCUUGAGUCUGCAUAUUUUGGAGCAUCCUAACACUACGUCUUUGCAAUGGUCUUUGACUAGCUGGUUAUCAUGGUACUACAAUCAAUGUAUCAACACAUCUGCUUCUGUUAUUAGGGCUACUGGGUGCGUCCCCCCAGACUGACACUGUUUUAUGUCAACUUUUUCACCAUCCAGAUGAAUCACAGGCUGCAGUUCUACUAUGGAAAGGGGGACAAUUACCUGCUUUUAGGUGGACUUCAGAUGAAGAGGGACUGCUUGUUCCCUGUGGCUGUUGGAGAGGAACUGACGCCUGCUGAUACAAAACCUCCUGGACAACUUUUGGUAUUUAAUUUCCCAAUUAUAGACAAUUAAAGGUCCCCUUUGGAUUCCUACUAAAAGAGACACUUUUUUAAAAAAAAUUGAAGACAGUUUAGGUUGUACUAGUCCAUGGACUCAGAAAUGACACUUUACUGUUACUGAUUCGUUACCAGGGUUCAAUUUGUUAUGCAUCUAUAACUAUCCUAUUCAUUUUAAUGGAAGUGUAAGUUUCCUACAAUUACAUGUCUAUAAAGUAUGUAAGGAAGUAAAACAAAGAUACUCUGUGAUGACUUUAAGUAUAAUAAGGAUAUGCUCCAGUACAGCAAUUCAUACAAAUAACUGGAUGUAAGUAGUAAACUGCUGUGAGACCCUAAAUAAAUUCUGCUACACUCUAUUCUUGUUACACCCA